GAGAUUGUAGUUCAAUUGGUUAGAGUAUCGCCCUGUCAAGAUGGAAGUUGUGGGUUCGAGCCCCAUCAGUCCCG
rfam:Picea glauca, whole genome shotgun sequence.